rnacentral:lncRNA from 10 species
AGGCUCUAUUCAGCGGCGCUGGCUGGAGCUGAGAUGGAAGUUAGUUUCUAUGUAGCAGAAAUAUGAAACAAAUGAAGCAAAACUGCCCAGAGAGGGGAAAUGCCCCAAGGAUGGGUCUCACUCACGCGCGUACACAGACACACACGCAGAGAGCACUCUCACGCUGGGCAAGCUCGGGAUCGCGCUACCCUUCCCGAGUUGAAUGAUAGUGUUUGGUUUCUGUCUCUUGCCAUGUGCAUGUGUAUAAAUGCUGCGGAUUGGCAUCUGUGUAAGUCUUGUCCUGCGUUAUUUCUGCAGCCUAUGCAAGUGUUGUGUAAUUUAUUGGAGUGCUGUAUAUUGCAAUAGAGGUUUGGGCUGCUUUUUGUUAAGCACUUGCGUUUUGCAAACCCGUUAUUUGCUGAAGCCACCUCUGCAUAUUUCUUUUAUUACUGCCAUUGCCUUUGGCGUACGUUUUUUAAAUGUUUUUUAUUGUUAAACGGGCAAAGCGAACUCUUGAUUUGUACUUCAGAUACUCUUUUUCCUUAUUACAAAAAGGCUAGUGAUGGCUAAUUAGGUAUUUGGAAUUAAAGAACCUUAAAGCUUUUUUAAGUGUUUACGAGAAGGGAGAAUGUAAACCUGAGGGAAAGGAAAGGACGCUAAUAUUCAUGUCUAACUGAUCUGGAGGUAAUUUAGUGACAGAUCGAUAACCUGCCUAAGGAUAUUGAAAGAGUAUACUACAGUUUAGCCAAGGUGAAUAGUGAUUAAAUAAUUUAAAUAAUCUGUGUAUCUUGCAGUUGACUUCGUCAUGCUAAUUAAUGGCUUCUAAUUUGAGAUGUAAACCAUUCCUGUUUACAGUUAAUCACGGGAAGACUUCUUGAAAACUGACGAAAA